UACGAAGGGGGCUAGCGUUGUUCGGAAUUACUGGGCGUAAAGCGAGCGUAGGUUGCUCGACAAGUCAGUGGUGAAAGCCCAGAGCUCAACUCUGGAACUGCCAUUGAAACUGUCGAGCUGGAAUCUCAGAGGGGGUAGCGGAAUUCCAAAUGUAGGGGUGAAAUCCGUAGAUAGUUUGGAGGAACACCGGUGGCGAAGGCGGCUACCUGGGAUGAGUAUUGACACUGAGGCUCGAAAGCGUGGGGAUCAAACAGGA
rnacentral:rRNA from 1 species